rnacentral:rRNA from 1 species
AACGAACGCUGGCGGCGCGUCUUAAACAUGCAAGUCGAACGGCAGGAAGGGGCUUGCCCCUUCUGAGAGUGGCGGACUGGUGAGUAACACGUGGGUGACAUACCUUUUAGUUGGGGAUAGCUAUUAGAAAUAGUAGGUAAUACCGAAUGUGACCGUACCUGUUAGAGGGGUACGAGGAAAGGAGCUAAGGCUUCGCUAAAAGAAUGGCUCGCGGCCCAUUAUGCUCGUUGGUGAGGUAACGGCCCACCAAGGCGAUGAUGGGUAUCCGGCCUGAGAGGGUGAACGGACACAUUGGGACUGAGAUACGGCCCAGACUUCUACGGGAGGCAGCAGUUAAGAAUAUUCCGCAAUGGACGAAAGUCUGACGGAGCGACGCCGCGUGGAUGAAGAAUGCCGAAAGGUUGUAAAAUCCUUUUAAACCUGAUGAAUAAGCACAGUAGGGAAUGAUUGUGCGGUGACCGUAGGGCUUGAAUAAGCACCGGCUAAUUACGUG